rnacentral:sRNA from 1 species
ACAGAAGAAAAAAAUCCAAAAUUGCUUUUUUGACGAACACGGUUUCGUUUUUCCCCCCCGUCUAUUGCUUUUAAUUUUCUCCGUUCCUGUUCUGAAUAUCUAUCUACCUAUGUUCUCGUCGAUUCAGCAUUUGUCCAUCUACAAACCAGUGACGUCAACGACCUAUGUUUAGAAAACGAUAACCCAAGGAACUGAACAACUGCAAAUUGUAUUCGAGCCUUGUCUCUCUCUCUCUUCUAUGUACUACUUAUAAAAAGCCAAGUCAUGUCCAAACACGAAUAUCGUCCCGGAAUUAGAAUUCUUACACACAAAAGGGACGAAGGCGAAAUCAUGCGAGUUGCAGGAUGGGACCGUAGAGCCAGAGCGAAUGGUCGGGCAAGCAUACAAAUUUUAUUGGCUUGAACACUGUUGACUGUCUACCUACUGUUGAAGAAGACUGUUUCUCUGGCCAUUGCAGCCAGAUCAUGAAUCAGGAGUCGUUAUCGUAAUGGAAACCUCCAAUGAUCAAUUCUCCGCGGCGUGAUGUGAGUGAUAGUUCUCUCUGAAGUGAUAAGAGCCGGCAAAGGGCAGCUUUGUGUCCGCUAAGAAAGCAGAGUCACUCUUAAAAAAAGGAAUUGGGAUACCUGGCCUGGAGACCAAAAGAAAUAAAGGGAGGGCAGACAAACC